GACGUUUGGUAGAGACUGUUGAAGCCACCUGGUCCCAGCAGAACCCAGAAAACGGCCACAUUCGCUGGUGCUGGAGCAAGGUCAUUAAGGGUGAAGCCUGGUGCCAGAUGUGG
ensembl:rRNA 5S_rRNA 5S ribosomal RNA